rfam:Felis catus isolate Cinnamon breed Abyssinian chromosome E2, whole genome shotgun sequence.
GCCUGGGUGGCUCAGUCGGUUGGGCGUCUGACUUCGGCUCAGGUCGCGAUCUCACAGUCCGUGGAUUCGAGCCCCACAUCGGGCU